rnacentral:rRNA from 1 species
UACGGAGGGUGCAAACGUUGCUCGGAAUUAUUGGGCGUAAAGCGCGCGUAGGCGGUUACUUAAGUCGGAUGUGAAAGCCCUCGGCUUAACUGAGGAAGUGCACCCGAAACUGAGUAGCUAGAGUACGAAAGAGGGUCGCGGAAUUCCCGGUGUAGAGGUGAAAUUCGUAGAUAUCGGGAGGAACACCGGUGGCGAAGGCGACUUUCUGGCCUGUUCCUGACGCUGAGGCGCGAAAGCCAGGGGAGCGAACGGG